UACAAAGUAUAUACGUCGAGUUUUGCGAUAAGUAAAGUUCGCGGACAUAGUACUUCUCUAGCUAUAUAACAGCGGAGCCCGCGAGAUCUAUAUUAGUUUGCAAACCAAUUUAGUGGCCGUUGGUUGUGAGUGUGUGUUUAUAAAGUAAACAAUACAUUUCCGUUCAAAUACCAUGGCAGACAACGAUCGUAUUGUGUAUCCUGAUGAAGUAGAAACAUCGAAGAUAGAGGCAGCGAAUGCUGAAGACAAAACUACAGGUGGUGACACAAACACAAUAGAGGAAGCACCUCAAGAUAUUGCAAUGAGAAGUAUGAUCACUGUGCCUCCAAACUGUCCAGCUGGCUACGAGUUGUCCGCUGAUGGUGUGUGCCGCGAAGUCUUCAAGUAGCCGCUGUGAUACCACAAAUAUUGGGAUUAAAUUUAGUAAUUUAUUUUUAUGACAUUAAAGUCUGAUAAACUAUGGAAUCUGAGAUACAUAAAAAAUAAGGCGUUUUAUAAGCAGUUUUUUAAUUGAAGUGUUUAAGUGUAUUUUGUUCAAAAAUUGCAGUAUUAUUUGGAAUGUCUGUUUUGCUGUGUUUGGAAUGUUAAGACUAUAUAAUAUGUGUAAUUUUUAAUUACAAUCAAUGAUUGAAUAAACUAUUUUGUAUAUA